AAUUUCAUCAAAAUCGGUGAGAAAGACCGUCUCCUUCAGUAUUACCAGACAAUUUAAUAGAAAGUUACUUGUUAGUAUGCGUGUCAAGUGUUCGGUCUAAACUAGGUCAUUAUUUGCGUUUUAUAACCUCAAAGUCCGUUUCGGUCAAAUUGACAACACGUGUCCCAAAUGAGAAACGAAAAAAAUAUUUUUGCUACGCGAGACAAACUAUUACUUUUUUCUGCCGGAUUCUUUCAUUUUGAGUGAAUGAGUAUAUUUUCAUCAAAAUUUGAGGAUAAUGACCGUUUACUUUUUCGCAAAUGAGAAAUGACAAGUAGUUCAAUGAUUUUUAUAUAAUCUGCAUCAGGAAAAUAAAUCUAAAUAAAGAGAUGGAUCUGCACAAUCAUUAUUUACAUUUCUCAACAGCAAACAUUUCGCUUUUACAAACUAUAAGCGAUUUUAAGAGCAACUUACAUUAUUUGAUACAAUCUUACAAUCGUGAAAUGGUUAAAGAAGAGUUGGAUCUAGGUAAACUUGAGUUCUACCGAUCGCUGUUGUGUCAAGAAUACCAAUUUGUGUUUCCUAACAUUGAGCGAGGCAAUAGAAAGUAUGUGAUAAUCACUGAUGUGGAGAAACUUUGUCUUCCGAAUAUAAAUAUGAUCUUUCCAUCAAAUUAUUUACGUAGCACCUUGGAAAUCUCCCUCUUGUGUGACAUAAUCAAUCUGCAAAUGAUACUUUAUUGCGAUACAAGUUCAAUGAAACGAUAUCUGAAGGAUAUCUUUCGUUUAAGCGAUUCUUAUUUUGCAGCUAGUAACUCAAGGAUUAUGUAUAUGAAAAUAUUAGAAUAUUUUUUAGAAUUUUUACAUUUAUAUAAACUUCAUACCACUAGCGAGGAGAACGAGGAGCUAGAGGACUUCAGUCACAUGUACUUGGAGAUUGUAAAGUUAUGGCUAAAGUUAAAAGAGGAUUGCGAAUGGAAACUAUUUGCCUCGAUGUUUCCCAAAUUAAUACAAGUGUUUACUCCCGAGUGUAUCGCAUUUCCUCUGUGGGACCACCUUCUACGGGAAAUAAUUGAUUUAAAGGAAUUUCUCACUGAUCUAAGUAUCAUGGCAGAUAUAUGUUUCACGUCGUCGGAUUCAAUGUAUCAUAUACAUCGUGAUAUUUACUGUUCAAAGACAUUCUGGUUAUUUAUAUUAAAGGGAUUGCGAUCGCCCUUGCAACAAUAUCGUAAGCAGGCUCUGUAUAUAAUGAAGAAAGCGAUCGAUUCUAUAAGUGAAAAUGUAUCAAGUUUUACACAAGCGAAUUUAACAAAGGCUGAGGUCACACCAUUUAUCUGCAACAGAUUUGACAUGUCCUCGUCGAUAGAACGCAUUAAGGAAAGAUUUUUCUUGUUAUACGAAGCGUUGGAAGAAAAACAAGAGCAUCUGAUAACACCAGUUUUAUUUCACGUAGCUACUUUAGCAAAAAUAAAUAAAGAUCAUAGAACCUGCGAUUGCUUCAACAUCAUCUGGCUGCGAUGUAUUUUUGAAAAAAUUCUAUUACACGAAAAUAAUUUUAUUGCAAAAUGGGGUGUAACACAUGUUUGUAAACUGGAUGACGACACCAUAUUUGACGAUCAAUUUCUUGAAUUAUUCAUAGGUAUUUUGAACAAUAAUUUUCUCUACGAGUGCCAUUCCAAUGAGGAAUGUCCGGGAAUCGUGGAGGAGCUCUCACAAUUCCUUAGAUACGCGAAAAAGAGCGAUCUACUCAACAGAUUCCUGAAGAAGAUAAACUGCGUAGCCUGGGGUCCCGUAGCAAUAUUUUACGUGAUACACGUGUUACAAACGGUUUCGCACGAGGGGCCGCAGUAUUCCGAAUGGCAGGCAAGUGAAUUAAACGCCAUUAAAGUUUUAGUAGAGAUUAAUCUCAGCGCGCACUCUCACAUUCUACGCACUGCGUCUCAAAUCGAAUUACUGCGAGCAAUUCCCAAUUGUGCGCAACGAAUAAACGAUCUACCGUUGCUCGCUAACGUUUUGGCAACAUUUCCCUCUGGAGAGGGUCUCGUGAGAGGAACAGCUCCUUGGAACGUUAUUAAAACUUGGCUGCAAACGGUAUUAAAGGAAGGAGAUGUGGUAACUUUCAUGGAAAAAACUUGUGCGAGUUACAAGCAAGGAAACGUCAAUCUCGAGAUGAAUCCUAGAACAUUUGCGAUAAUGGUAUAUUUAAUGUACGAUGCAUCUCUUUUAUCCUUUUUCGGCAAGCCGACUCCCGCCAUGGAAGCGUUAAAUAAUUUACUAUACAUCUUGAAUGACAUCAGCGUGCGACCUUACGCCGAUAUCAUCUCCAGUAUGAAUGUAGUGGAAUUUAUAUCGCAUCUGCUGCACCUUUCCGUAAAAGGACCUCGCGAUAAAAUGACAAACUUUAUAUCGUCGCACAUGCACACCACUUUUAAUUUUUUAAUUAAGAAUACGAGGAGGAUAUCCGUUCAACUGACCUAUGAGGAUUACACGAGAUACGUAAGAAUCGUGUCCUCGCAUGUCGCCAACGCGCCUUUCUUCAUGUCGGAAAAAGAUAUACGCAGUUACGGGGAAAAGCUGGAAAACGAAAGUCUAAACUUGAUACGCAACUUGCAAACUGUAAAUAUGCAAUAUUUGUAUGGAUUACACGUUUUGCAUCUCUCUCAAAACAUACUGGUUUUACCAACUUUAUGUAAAAAGCAUUUACUUGGUAUAACGAGUGACAUCAAUAUGGUGAAUUUAAAAGGAAAAAUUGCGUCGGAAUAUUAUUUGCUUCUUUUGAAACUUAUGCAUCGGUAUCUUGUAAAUUCCCCAGUGGCCUCGUGGAUUUCCGUUGCCGCUAUGCUGACCAAUUUACUAAAAUUCCUUGAUGUGGGUUUGCCGGAAAAUGUCUCUGAAAUUGCAAAGAUACUAACGGUAAUGAUUGAUAAUAAAGUUGUAAGAGAAACGAGUGACAGGGAGACUUUGGAAUAUACUUUGAAUUUGAGCUUUACGUGUAUCGACAACGGUAAGAAGAAUAAUAAUGUCUUUUGGAUGGCGAUACAAAAUCUCAUGGGAGUUAUUAUUAAUAACAACUUUCUGCUUUUGCCCAACGCUGUACAAUUUACGGAAGGAUAUAUUGUUAAAUUAUUAAAUGAAGGCGAGAUUACAGCAAAGUUUAAAAGGAUAUUGCUUUCCAAACUAAAAAAUUUGGAUGUACAAAAUUUGAUGAGAUUAAAAAGUCCGUUAACACAUUGUCUCUUUCAUAGUCCCAUAUAUCGGCGUGACAAGAAAAUCGAAAAUCAUGCUCAUUUAUUUAUUGACAAGUACUUGGGUCAUUAUUAUCCAAAACAUGUUUUUAUCCUGGAUUCCAAUAAUGAUACUGCAAUUAGAGCAGAAGCGAUUGUACUGUUACAUAGAAUAAUUAGUUAUUCGGAAUCAGAUUGCAUAGCAUAUGUUAAUAAUCAUGCUCAGACGUUACUUGAUACAUUGAAAACGAAUAAAACCAAGAGAUACUUUAAUGAUUCGCCUUUACAUAAAUUCAAACACAGAAUAAUGCAAAUCUUAUUAAUAUUGGAACCAGCGUUGAGUGAGGAUUACGUUUGUUUACUGCAAGAGGAAUUGUGUGACUUAAUUUUUUCGGAAAGCAAUCAGUCUAGUGUGAAAAUUAUGCAGGAAUGGUUACUAGUACGAAUCUUUACCAAAAAUAUUCAUCUACGCGAUAAGUUGUGGUCACUUUUUGAAAAGAGUAUAAAGCAGCGUCCAACAUGUACGAUUUCUAUGGCAAGCAUUGUCUAUCAUAUCGCGAAACUCCUUUCACGCGAUGAACAGAAAAUUUUCAUUCGUACAGCUCUGCCGUAUAUAGUGCAGUGUUGUUUAGGACAGCAAUUUAGUGCGCGUAUUUAUAAUCAGUUUAUUUUGACACGAUUGUAUGACUUAAUGGAAAAAACUUUUGGCGAUAAUAGCAUAUUAGAAUACAAAGCUGUAUAUCAGGCAGCUGUGAUUGGUUUGUUACAAGAAUGUUCGACAAAAAAUUCAUUUAAAAUACAGGAUGAUUUUUACUUUUCUAAUUUCCAUCCGUUCGAAGACUACAGUUUGGAGACAAUUUAUUACGAAUUGCCACGUUUGACUAACGUAAGUCGUGACGAAUGGAUUAGUCCGACUGUAUUUAAAGACUUAAUGUUUAAGGAAAAUGACAAUCAUUCUUUACGGCAUUAUAACGUGAAUUCAUUUCCGACUAACAUUGAAUCUUCUGUAUAUCUGACGAAAUUUUUCACAGGUGAUAUGCAUACCAAGUUGUUAGAAAAUAAUGUUGAAAGUUGUAUGGAGGGUGUAUACGAUAUUCAGAAAAAGAUUAAUCCGUCGAAACCUAUAAAUUUGUGCAACGACAUUUGCGAAAUGAUGAAUGAAUUCAUAUUUCUACAAGACACACAAUCGCAUGAAGGUUUGAUAGUUGUGGCAUCAUUCGUUGAGCGAUCACCAAAUUUAGGCGGAAUCGCUAGGACAUGCGAGAUAUUAGGAGUUCGAGCACUAGUCGUCGCAAAUGCGAAUUGUGUAAAGGACAAGGAGUUUCAGUAUCUCAGUGUGUCUGCUGAUAAAUGGUUAAAUAUUCUGCAGGUAUUUCAACAACUUAUACCGGAUUGUUAGCGAAAUUUAAAAAAAAUCCCUGACUUUUCCCGAUCACUUUUUGAAAAAAAAUGUCCUGCUUGAAGCCGAAAAGGAGCACUUGAUAAAAACUAAGAAAAAUAGUGAAAUUUUUUAUUGAUUAUAAACAAAUUUUUUAAACAUGAGUAAUCGACGAGCCUAAACGAUCGUAGAUCAUAGAACAAGGAGAGGCUCGGACGUGUAAAUAAUCAAUUUCAACGAAACUCGUAGCGAUAGAUCUACAUGUCGACGCCGUCGAGACAUACCACACAUACAUUUACAUUAAUAGUACAUUUUAAUACGGUGUUUUCUUACAACUUCGCCAUAUCUCAGCCAAAUAUAUGAACAUUUUUCUUUGAAACUUUUAUGGAAUAAUCUUCAAUAUAUUUCUCAAAAUAUAGGGCGUAUAACAAGUUUUUCAAACAUUUCAAAGCCGAAUGCCAAAUUUUUCCAAAUAUUUCUCCAAAUUCGUAAUUUUAUUUAUUUGAUCGAAAAAGUUAUUGUACGAAUUUUCCAAUUGUCAACUUUUACCUUUUUGCUACAAUUUGCUUAUUCGUUAAUUAAGGAAGUUUUUUGAAAAGUUUCGGGUCUUUAAACAAUAAGGUGUAAGAUGAUGAUUUAUACGUCGAUGCGAUUGCAACAGAUUUUUCAUCUGUUAACAAGAUUGGAUUGAUAAUUAAUAUUUUUUUUUAACUAAAUUAAGUUUAAAUUAAUUUAUUUAGUUACAUUAAGAAUUCCACGAACGAAAAACCAACUUGGUUAAAAGUUGCGUUAAGAUUAACUUAAAUUAAAAGUUAUUUUAAUUUAUAUUAAAUUAGAAUGUUGUAAUUUUUAAUUAUAUUAUUGUAAAUAACAAGACAAUUGUAUGAAUCGAAUGAAUUCAAUAUUUUAUUUGUAAAUUAAAUUUGUAUGUGAAAUAACGAAAAAAUAUUGUUUUUUAUAUUGGUAUUUUUUCUUUCACAAUUUUUUUUCCUUUUAUGUAUAAUAUAUGUAACUUUAACUUGGAAUAGAAAAGUUUAUAAAUUGAAGUUUAUACGUUUUAAAAAUAACUAGUUAAAAAUUAACUCAUUUGAAAUUAACCAAGUUGAAAGUUUUAGUGUUUUAACAGUAUUAUUUAACUUUUAACUUUUUAAUUAAUUACUAUCCAAGUCUUUGUCUUUUUAAAGUAUAUUAAGGAUGGUUUUAAUUGGUUAUAAUAAAUACUCUGAUCUGAAAUUCUUAGGUGAAGCCACACGAGUUACAGAAAUUCUUAUUGGACAAAAAGAAUGCGGGAUGGUCUUUAAUUGGGGUUGAACAAACGGUCAAUAGUGUAAAUCUGACGACAAUGACAUUCGAGAAAAGGACAAUUCUUGUUUUAGGGUAAUUAAAUUCCGAUUUGUUAAGGAGCGGUGUAGGAUCGUAGACUAAUGUAGACGAAGCCUUUUACGAGGUCACUGAUAUUAAUAGUAAAGGAAUGAGGAGGACUAUCGUCACAUCGGCUAUUUCCACAGCGUUCUUCUGAUAUAUUCGAUUUUACGUAAAGCAGAGAUGUGGCCACGCAUUGAAUGGAGAUUGGCAUAGCAUUUGCUAUGUGUGCCCGAGGCAUGGGCUAAAAUGGCUCGAUAUGUGUUGAUUUGGCGACGAUUCAAAAAACGGCCAUAAGGAUACUACUUCUUUCAUUCACUUUAAAACUGAUAUAGAAUCACUGCACCAGUUGCUGAACAAUAGCCAGCAAAUGACUGUUUAAGAAAAAUAUUAAAGCAAGACUAUAAAAUAAUAAAUUGCAAAUUGAUAGUUUUUUUAGAUUUAAUUUUCACGCAGAUGCACUAUCGAAAUAUCUUUCACUUGAAAAUAUAAUUAUAUUAAUCCUAGAAUGCUACUCAUGAUUUUUCUGAUAUCAACGCUACUCUAAGAAUUAAUCCGCAUUUCAGAAUUUGUUACACUUUUUUUCUACUUUAUAAGUUGCAAGGUAUUAAAAUAACCGAUCUUUAACACUAUUUUAAUGUAAAAAAAAUUUUAUUAAAUAUUUUUAAGUUGUAACAAAAACUGUAAUAAACUUGAAUUAAUACUUGGAUUAAAAUGUAAUCGUAACAGUAUUCUAGGAUUAAAUUGUUUCUAUUUGUCCAUUAACUGAUUGAAUCUCUUAAUCUGUUCUGAACUGACUAUUGUAACUGACGACUAAUUAGGAAUCUAUUUUGUAGGAACGAGAAGAAUGGUAUACCAGCGAAUUUUAUACCUCUCUUUGACACGUGUGUGCAGAUACCUCAAGUAGGAGUGACACGAUCAUUGAAUGUUCACGUUACCGCUGCGAUUUGUAUAUGGCAUUAUGCGAACCAACAUGUAUUGAAGUAAUAAUUUUUUUUCUUAUUUAUAAGAUACAUGAUGAUGAUAUUAAAUAAAUGUAUUUUUAAUAAAAUAAGUCUCGUUACAGUAA